UUUUUUUUUUUGUAGAUCCAAUGUUUCAGAAAACUGUGGGAAGGGUACCAUCACAUUCAGAUUUUGAGAUGAUUAAAAAGAUGAUGGAGUUCCUUGAGAAGUUUAAGAAGAAAACUGAAAAAGUUUCGUGUUCAACAAAGCCUAUCUUCCAUACGUAUACCCGGGAGAUCCUAGAUAUAGAGCAACAUCUUAGGAAACAUGAAACCAACCCGGAUUUUAUGUUUAUGGUACCGGAUAUGAAAGAUAAAUAUGACAAAUAUUGGGGUGACUAUGAUACUAUAAGUGAUUAUGUCUUCUUUGCGACAUUGUUAGAUCCUCAAUGCAAGUCAAAGUUUAUGAAAGUUGUUUUUACCCAAAUGCUUAAAGCCAAGAACAAAGAUAAAAAGAUGUCCGCUGAUGAGAUAGAAUCCAAAGCACGUGCAAAGGUUAUUGAUAUCGAAUGCAAAUUGGACAAGUUUUUCAAGACAUACUUGGAAAGGUCAAACAUGACCUCAUCGUCUCAACAAGAAACUCCCGAAGAAGUUGUUAAUUUUGAUGACGAAAAUGAAUUCUUUGGAAGCUAUAUGACUUCGGGAAGUUUCCCCUCGACAUCAUCAGAAAGUCAAUUGCAACGAUACUUAAACGAGGACCCAAUCGGAUUUGACAAAGGAUAUGAUAUCCUCACAUGGUGGAAAAAUAAUGCAGUGCGGUUCCCGAUCGUUGCUCGAAUGGCAAGAGGUAUCGACCUUCUUUUACUCUAAUUUAAAUUUUUAAUUUAUAAAUUUGUGUCGUGUAUUAUACACUAAUUUGUUUAUUAAUAGAUAUUUUGGGGAUGCAAAUUUCCACCGUAGCAUCCGAAUCCACAUUCAGUAACGGUCGUCGAGUAAUUACCGACUACCGUACUAAUUUGUCCGUUGUGAUUGUGGAGUCAUUGAUAUGCACUCAAGAUUGGCUAAGAAAGAGUAGCUUGCCUAUAUAUGACUACGACGAAGUGCAUGAUGUGUUAGCUGACGAUGACCUUGCUAUCGGUAAUACACUAAUACUUGUUACAUCUUAUUUUUAACUUCUUAUUAGUAUUUGUUACAUUUUAGUAAGUAAUAACAUUUUUCUUUUGUAUUAUAUAUAGACAUUGUGGAUGCUAUACACAACUUGAAGCUAACGGUGAAGAGAUCGGGGAAUUAGUCAAAAUGUCAAAAAAAUGUUGGAAUCCACAUAUUAGACUUUGUUUUUUUUUUGUUGGCGAAACUUGGAAGUAUAUUUUGAAGUGUGUUUUGAAUGUUGAAUGUUUGAAUGUUGGAUACUUAAUAACAUAACUUUGACGACAUCAAUGUUUAAUUUGCUUGUAAUAAUUUAAAUAAAAGAUCCAUGGUUAAUUUGCUUGAAUGUUGAAUCGUUUAUUAAAAUGUUGAUUAUUUACUAGUAUUUAAACAUCCACUUCUUCAUAAAAAACCAAUAAAACGCAAAGUAAUUUAGUCGUUGGAAUUACUCGAAAAACCGGCAAAAAUCGGACCCGAAAAACCAAUAAAACGCAAAGUAAUUUAGUCGUUGCAUACAUCAAAAUUUAGCCGGUUCCAAACUCGAAAAACCGGACCCGGCACCGGAACCGGUAGAACCGCCGGGCCGGUUCGGUUCUACAUUUUGGCCGAAUCCGGUUCCCCGGUCCGGUUCGGUUCGGGCCGGUUCCGGCCGGUUCGGUUCUUUUGCUCAUCCCUAGUUAAAAUUAACAGCAAAAAACGCAUACAGCAACCACAAUAAAAUCAUAUAGUUUAUGUUUUCAAAAACCGUAAAUUUGCGGUGUGGUGCGGUUAUUAGUUUUCAAAAACUGCAAAAAAACUGCACCGCAUAAUAUUAUAUACAAUUUUUUUAUUAAUUAUUAAUAUAUUAAAUAUUAAAAAUAAGACAAGUUUCAUAGAUGGAAUAUGAAUAAAAAUACUAGAAGAUAAAAGUAUUGGUUUUUUGUUAUGUUUAACUUUGAAAAAUAGUGAAAUUAGACAAUUUUAAAGAUAUUUAUUGUUAAUUACAAUUGAUUUGAGGUUUUUAAGAUAUUAGUUGUUUGUGAUUUAAGUUAAUUGUCUUAUACCUUAUGUUCUUUUAUUAUUAUAAGUAAUAUGUUUGAAUUCUUAAAACCGUUUGAGCUCUAAACUAUGGUUAAAAAACACACAAAAUAACUACACCAAAUCCAUGCAGUGAAUAACUGCAAAAAAAAAAAAAAANCGCACUGUAAAAAUAACCGUCUAACUGCACCACAACAAUAACCGCACCAAACGGUUUUGAAAAUGGAUUAACCGCAUUUGCGGUUAGUGGUGAGGUUUUAGCUAGUAACCGCACUGAACUGCAUCACGCUCAUCCCUAGGUUGGGUGGAGUAGUAAUGGGGGUGGUAGGACCCAUCAUAUUUUAAUAUUUAAUUAAUAUCAUUUCCAUAUUUAAUUAAUAUUUUUAAUUAAUUUAUAAUUUAAAAAAUGUAAAAGAACCCAUAAGGGUAAAUGAAUCUUUUUAGAACGGAUAAGGACCAAACGUUCAACAAAAAUAUAAAAUAAGGAUAAUCCAAAUUAAAAACAAUUGUUAGGGACCAAACACACAGAUUACCCUAAAUUAUAUGGACCAUCCAUGUAAUUUAUCCUAAACCACGGACGACAUGGACCACCCCUACCCAAGGUAGAAGGUAGAAGAAGAGAUGAAUGUUGUUCUUGGGAAUCCGUUAAUUGAGAAAGAAGUAUUUGAAGUUGUUGAAUGAUAUUGGCACAAUGUUCUCGCCAAAAUCAAUUUGGGUAAAAUUCAAAUCUUUAGUAUUAAAUUGUUGCAAAUUGAUCUUACCUUGUAGAAAAUCGAUUUAAUCUUAUUAGAUUUGAAAAUUAUGAUGUAGGGUGGGGUUACCCACAACAUGAAUGAUAUGGGCAAGUGAUUGCUCUCGCUAAGUCAAUUUGGGUAAAAUUCAAAUCUUUAGUUCACAACCGAUUUUGGUGUAUAUAUGUAACGUACAUUAGCAUGAAUAUUACUGCAAUCGUUUGGUUUCAGGUGAUUGAUUUUGGAUCUUUGAAAAAAAAAAUGUGAUUAUUUUGUCUUCAUAAAAUUAACAUCUGAGCUAUACACCAUAUGCAAAACUUUCAACUUUUAAUGAUAGUGUAUAAUAAGGUUAAGCAACAUGUCUGGACAUUGAGCAUUGUGUUAAUCCUAGCCUUAUGCCCUUAUCAGAUCCUACACAAGAAUGGGUGACUUCGGGUUGUUUCUAGUGGUGAACAUCUAUACAAAUAUCGGAUCUAGUGGUGAAUCCUGGUGUCCAACUUAAUUGACGUGACAAAUUAAUGUGUCAGAAAAAGUUUGGUUAUUAGAUAAUAUGUGGCAAGUUUUAUGAUAAGAAAAUUUACUAAAUUUACUUCACAUACAUUAGCGUGAAUAUUUUGACAUUGUUAUGCUUUUAAUACAUGUAAAUAAAUUAUUGUGGUUUAGGUUUUUGCUAUUACAAUUUACAUAUGGUUGUACAAAUUGAAGAAAUGUUGGUUUUACUUUUACAUGCUAGAAAUAAGAAGGUUGGAGGUCUCCAACAUUGUACGAGUAAUCAAAUCAAUUUUUUUCCGGAGAUUUGUCCACGAGGGUAGUUUAGUCAUUUACCCUUUUAGCAAGCACGUUGGAGUCUUGGAGUCCCAUGGUGCCUUCUGUUAUGCUUGUUUUUGUUGAUGUAAUUGUUUCUAGAUUACUAGUGUUUCCAAUUUGUGUUGUAUCUUUAGGGAAGUAUUUAUAGAUAUGUAUGUAUAAAUGAUCAGUUUUCACAGGGAUAAAUAUAAGCAUAACCACAUAUUUUGAUUAUCUAUUUAAACUACAAUUGCUCAUUGUUACAACUUCUUCUUUAUUUUUAUUUUUUAUUUUUUAUUUUAUUUAUUUAUUAUUUUUUUUUUUAUUUUUAGAAUUGGUCUUUAAUACAAAAUUACAGAAUUGGUACCUGUGUAGAUAUUUUUUUUUACAGAUUUAAUCCAUGGCAGAAAAACAUUAUAAAAAUGGUCCUUAUGUAGAAUAACAUUACAGAAUGGCCCCUGUUGCAGAAAACAAAUUACAGAAUUGGUACCUGUGUAGCAAAAAAUUUACUUAGUUGGUCCCUGUGGUAGAAAAACGUUACAGGGACCAAUUCUAUAUUAUAAGUAAUCUGAUUAGGGAUUUUCUUUUUGGAACGAAUCUGUCAAGGGAUUUAAUUUGGUAGGGUAUUUUGGUAAACUCAUACUAUAUAAUUUCAAAAUUUAGAUAAUUUAUUUAAUAUAAAAUCGAUAUAAUCCUAAUUAAAAAAAAGAUUUUGAAUAUAGAUGUAAUUUUUAUAAUUUUAGAUGAAUAGACACGGUAAAAAAACAGCUGUAGUGAUUGAAGAGUUCUGACAAUGGUAACGACUGUUUAUCGGAGAAGGAGAGAGAAAAAAUGGCGGCCGGCGACGGUUCCUUUUUGUAAGAAGAAAGGAGUGGCAGUGAUGACGAUCAUGGAGUCGACAACAGAUGAAUGCGGAGAAAAGCAGUGAGAAAGAAAGAGGGCCCGAGCUGCGGCGGACAUAGUCUAUUAUGGACGACUCAGAAAAUAGAAGAGGUGAGCUAAGGAGAAAGCAAAAGGCUCGGAGGUAGGGGUCAUCCGAGGAGGAGACAUAUGAAAACGAGGUAGUUGAAGAAGUCGAAGAAAAAGCUUUGUUUGGUGCCGAAGCCUGUUUUAUUAUUUAGGAGGAGAAAAAAAGAAAGGGAAAAAUAUGAAGCAUAAUGAAGGCACCUCCGAUGACUUUGAGAGAAUGUCGCCGGAAGUGGAAGGCGGCGACUGCGGGUUGUGGUCCGCAAUAUGAUUUUAACCUAGAACUCUGAUAAUAUGUUAUAUAAUAGGUUGAUUGAUUAAUAGUAAAGGUUAAACCUCCUAUAAAUAUUGAUAAAUAAGGGGCCACUUGUCUAACCUAAAUCCUAAACUUUCGGCCUAAAGCCUAAAUGCUAAUAUAUUAACACUUACUUAUCUAUCACAUUACAAGAAAUCACCAAGAUUCUAAAGUUUAUCCAAUCAAAUAACUUACCCACAUAAUUACAAUUUGACACUUUACAUUUGUGAUUUGUAUUUGACACUUUACAUUUGUGAUUUGUAUUUGAUACUUGAAAUCAAAAUAUGAACAUUUGUUUUGUUUGUUGAAUAUUAAUAUUUAUUUUUGUAGUCGUAAAUAAUGAUUUGGUUUCGGGUACAAAAAUUGAAUUUCAUUUGUAAAUUUUGUUAUAGAAUAGCGGCUAAUAGAUCGUCGCUAAUUUCACAUAAUAAACAACGGAUUAACCAUGAAAUCCAUUGGUUCCUAAGCUAAUCCACGAAGGAUUAAAAACAAAAAUUAGCAACAAAAUCCCGAGGUUUCCUGAGCAAUUUGCGUUAUCGCUAGUCCGUCGUAAUUUGUCGCUGAAUCCCUCGUUGACCAUUAAGGACAAAUGUUUUUUCGACGGACAAUUCCGUACCUGAUAGCCUUCCGACAGAUUCGCGACGGAAUUGUCCGUCGGGACACCUCUGUUUCUAAGAGUGUGAUUGGGUGUUGUAGUCUUGUAGAUAUACUCAUAUAAAUAAAAAGAAAUAAACUGCAAAUAAGAUUCAACAAUAAAGAUAUGAAAAAUGAUCAUUGUUCAAACAAUAUUUUUAUUCGGCAUAUGAAGAUAAAUUACAGAAAAAGAAAAGUCAAAGAAUCAUAACCACAUGGAUACAAUGAUUGAUCAUAAGUUAAGAAACUGCACGAAAGCUUAGACCAAACUUGAAUCUUGUAUAACGAAGAUCAACUAGCAACGAUGUACAUAGUAGGUGCGACGUGGCUGGGGAAGGCAGACAGAUAUUAGCACAAGAACAAUUACUAGCAUUAGUAGAAUCCCCUUGAUAUCUGUUUCUUCACUUUCAAAGCAACAGCAGCUUGCCAUCUCUUAGUUUGAUUGGGGUGUUUCUUCUUCCAAAAUGAUUCGAUACAACUGGUAGUUAAAAGAGACAAGAGGGUUGACUAGUUGUAGGUCAACAAGUUGCGUUUCCAUUGUCUUGUUUGCUAGUGUCAGUAGGUAUCUUUGUG
rnacentral:lncRNA from 1 species